rnacentral:rRNA from 1 species
AUUGAACGCUGGCGGCAUGCCUUACACAUGCAAGUCGAACGGCAGCACGGGAGCAAUCCUGGUGGCGAGUGGCGAACGGGUGAGUAAUAUAUCGGAACGUGCCCAGUAGUGGGGGAUAACUGCUCGAAAGAGCAGCUAAUACCGCAUACGACCUGAGGGUGAAAGCGGGGGAUCGCAAGACCUCGCGCUAUUGGAGCGGCCGAUAUCAGAUUAGCUAGUUGGUGAGGUAAGGGCUCACCAAGGCGACGAUCUGUAGCUGGCCUGAGAGGCCGACCAGCCACACUGGGACUGAGACACGGCCCAGACUCCUACGGGAGGCAGCAGUGGGGAAUUUUGGACAAUGGGCGCAAGCCUGAUCCAGCCAUGCCGCGUGCGGGAAGAAGGCCUUCGGGUUGUAAACCGCUUUUGUCAGGGAAGAAACGGCUCCUACUAAUACUGGGGGCUAAUGACGGUACCUGAAGAAUAAGCACCGGCUAACUACGUGCCAGCCGCCGCGGUAA